UACAGGCAUGAGCCACCGCGCCCAGCCAAGAUCCAGCAUUUUUGAGACUUGAACCUUUCUUUCUCUGACUGACAUGUAUUGUAGAGCUCAAAAUAAAGGUUCUGUAUUUUGGGAGUUGGUCAUCACUCUCUAGUUCUGCUCCUAUAGAGCUAUUACUGAACCUCUGGCCUCUUCCCUGGGUUCUGGAAACCUUCAGGUACCUGUGGCCCCCAGAACAAUGGGCAGGAGACAGGAAGGCUGCUGGUGCCCCGAUGGCCCCACACAAGGCCGGGACCUCGGGACACAGGCACUGCAUCAUUCACUGUUUCCCUGCAUGGGCUUCAGGAGUGGAUGACAGCCCAGGGCCAAGCCCCUUCCUCUUUUGUUCUGCCCAAGCCCCUUCCCUCCAGCUGGUUUCCUUCCUUGAGUCCCUUGAUUCCUCUGUGAUCCCUUCUCCAGCUCAGCACCUGGGGCUGGCACCACUCCCCAGGGAUCCUGAUAAAGUCACAGAGCAUCUGCCCAGCGCCUGAGGUGGUGUAAGUUGGGGAAAGUGGGUCAUCCUGUUAGUCGCUCCUGCCAGGCCUGGAGCCCCUGGUGGUCCUUUUGAAUUCUAGAUUCUCUAGGUUCCUUUCUCCAGAAUCCUUCCCUUCUUGCUCCACUCAUGCUCUCGGCCAGGCCUACCAUGUCUCCUGGCAGCCGACUAUCUCAUACCACCUGCCUUUGUUCUCUAUUCCCUUUGCCAAAACCAUAUUUUCUGGUGAAUCCCUCCUCUACUUCAAGGUUCAGCUCAAGUGCCACCAUAUAAGUGAAGCUGUCCUCAGUCUCCCCUAGGCGACUCUGUGGCCCCAUGGAACUUUUUCUCAUCACCAUCAUAGCAGUCAUGACUCUGUUUUGACCUCCACUUCUCCACUGGAGAGUGUGUUCCAUGGAAUGAACUGGCUUGUAGUGUGACCUGUGAACCUCCAGAGCUUGGCUCUGUGUUGCUCACUGAGUACUUGUUCUUGCAGUGGGCACUCACCAAGAGAGGCCCCUGUUCUGGGAUGUGAGCCAGAGAAGGUCCCAGACUCGUAACUGCAUGUGUCAUACUCGCCCUCCACCCAGCUCCCCCUGGCCAGAUCACAGCCCCCUCCUGCUGCAGGGCCUGUAGUGCCAGGCUGGUUGCAAGACAGGGGGUCCCAGGCCGGUCGAGGUGGCUCACGCUUGUAAUCCCAGCACUUUGGGAGGCCGAGGCGGGCGGAUCACGAGGUCAGGAGAUCGAGACCAUCCUGGCUAACACGGUGAAACCCCGUCUCUACUAAAAAAUACAAAAAAUUAGCCGGGUAUGGUGGCAGGCGCCUGUAGUCCCAGCUACUCGGGAGGCUGAGGCAGGAGAAUGGAGUGAACCCAGGAGGUGGAGCUUGCAGUGAGCCGAGAUUGCGCCACUGCACUCCAGCCUGGGCGACAGAGCGAGACUCCGUCUUAAAAAAAAAAAAAAAAAAAAGACGGGGUCCUCACCUCUGAGAAAAUCAUGGCUUGGCCCAUUGGCACCCCAUUUGGGAUGCAGAAUGGAGCAACAACAGCUGGCUGGUGUCUGAACGCUAUUUCCCCAGCCCUGGGCAGCCAUCUCCUGUAGCUGUUCCCUCAUCCCAUGGCUUUACCAACCCCCCUUGCUGCACUGGAGGGCCUGGAGAGCAAGUAGGUUCAGAGUGGGAAGACAGGGCUAAAGGCAUCUUCCCAGUCUUCUCUCCUUCCCCUUCCUCCCAGCAGUUGUAGCUGUGCUGCGUGAUGAUGUGGAACAGAGCACAGUCUUAAUUAACUGCUCAGCCCUGCUCAUUAGUGCCUCUGGAAGCCCAAGAAGCCAGAGUUAGGAAGCCUCAAUCACAGUGAAGACCCCGGCUGCAGGCCUCCUGGGUGAUCGCUAGUCCUGUGUCUCCUGAAUUGUGUCUGUGUGACUUGGGACCCCUUUGGGGGACUCCAGCAGAAGACACUCCCCCCAACCCUGAGGCUGGGGAAGGGCUAAAGCUGGAGGGAGUCACUGCUGGAUUAAGGGAGUCGCUGCUGGAUUAACCUACCUCAUGGGCAGCUCUGAUCAAAUACCUAUGUUUCUCUUGCUGACAGCAUAGAGCCUGGAGUCCUUGGCUUAGCAGUCAAGCUCCUCCACAAUCUGGUCCCACAGGACUUUCCCAACCUAAUUUCCUCCUUCCAUCCUAGCAGACAAGGAGGGAAGGCAAAGGCUAGGCCCCCUCGUGGGCUCCCACUGGUGUGUGCAGAGCAUUUCAGGGACAGCAUAUGGUGGAACAUGUGAAACUCCACUGCAAUCAGAGAAAGAUGAACGAAUGAUUAAAUAAACCACAUGUGCUCAAAUCUCGCACACUGAUGACUUCCCUGCUUUUGGAGGGACUUAGCAAGGAGCCUGGUGUGUUGUUCAGCAUGCACUAUUUUUUUUUUUUUUUUUUUUUUUUUUGGUUGUGAAAAGGAAUAAAGAACCAUGAAGUGCCUGAAGACUGAACGAAAGGAAGCUGAGUGGAGGAGGAGAGAAGGGGCGGGCCCUAAAAACUAUAAAUCUAUAGGCCCAAUUUCAGUAUGUGGAAAAACUCCUUCAAAAUAUCAAUUUGUAAACACCCUAGAUCAAAUGAGAUAAUGCUCAUGAAAGCACUUCUUGAACUGCAAAGGGUUAGAAAUAUAAAGCAUUAUUCUGUAAUAUUUCUGUUCAGUGCAGACUUUAAAACAGAUGCUAUGGGGAGGCUGGAGAUUUAUGAUAAUGGCUCAUCACCUGAGGUGCUCAUACAAUUUGGGCUGUUUCAUUUAAUUAGUCAUUGCCUCUCAUGUAGACUACUGCAGAAGCCUCCUAAGUGGCCUCCCCACCUCUGCAUUCUCCCCCAUCCCAUUCAUCUUAUAUGCCACCGUCACGUUAAUCUUCCUGAUGCACAGCUCUGAUCAAAUACCUGUAAUAAUUCUCCUGCUGACUGCACAGAGCCUGGAGUCACUGGCUUAGCAGUCAAGACCCUCCACAGUCUGGUCCCCCAGGACUUUCCCAAACUGAUUUCCUUCCUUCCAUCAUGGCAGGCAUGGGCUUGGGAAGAUCAAGUCACUAAACCCAAGACCACACAGAUACCAAGAGGCAGAUCAUACAGCCAAGCCUUCAGACCCCGACAUCUGACUCCAAGACCAUUCUGAGCCCAUCACUUCCUCACUUUGAUGGUGCAAUGGAUUGUGUGUUUGUGACCCUCUAAAAUAUACAUGUUGAAACACUGAUCCUGAUGUGAUGGUAUAUGGAGAUGGAACUUUGGGGAGGUAAUUAGGUCAUGAGAGUGGACCCUUUAUCAAUGGGAUUAGUGCCCUUACAAAAAGGGGCCAGAGACCUAGCUAGUUCUCUUCUGCCAUGUGAGGAUACAAUGAUAAGUGGACAGUUGGUGAUAUGGUUUGGCUAUGUCCCAACCCAAGUCUCAUCUUGAACUGUAGUUCCCACAAUCCCCACGUGUGGUGGGAAGGACCCAGUGGGAGGUAAUUGAAUCAUGGGGGCAGUUUCCCCCAUGCCAUUCUUGUGAUAGUAACGUGAGCCAAGAUCUGAUGGUUUUAGAAGGGGCUUCCCCCUUCGAUCGGCUCUCAUUCUUCUCCUUCCUGCCACCCUGUGAAGAACAUAUUUGCUUCCCCUUCUGCCAUGAAUGCAAGUUUCCUGAGGCCUCCCCAGCCAUGCCAAACCGUGAGCCAAUUAAACCUCUUUCCUUUAUAAAUUACCCAGUCUCCGGUAUGUUCUUAUAGCAGUGUGAGAAUGGACUAAUACAGUUGGAGACCCAGAAGAGGGCUUUCUCCCAGAACUGGACCCUGCUGGCCCCCAAGUCUCAGACUCCAACCUUGGAACUGUGAGAAAUAAACCUGACUAAGGUUAGACCUGACUAAGACAAAUGGAUACUGCUGCAGUGAUCUUUCCACAGAGAGCUUUUUCUCUUCUUUGCAAAAAUUUCCUUAGGACAAAUUCCCAGGAGUGGGAUUCCCAGGUCAAAAGUCAUUAAUAUUUUAAAUGGCUGUGUGAAUUGACAUAACGCUUCACAAAAGAACUGGGCUGAUUUAUUUUUUAGCCAAUGAUGUAGAUAUACACAAGUUUCACCAGCCCCUCUUGGGAUCUUAGCCAUUCUAAUGCCUGCUUUCUAACGGCGUAGUUAGAAUGUAUUGUAAAAGUUAUUUGAUUUGUUCAUGUGUUAUUCAGGGAUUGCUCUCAUCUCCAAGUCUUUGCUCAAAUAUUCUUGGUGUGGUCUACCCCAACUACUCUAUUUCAAAUGAAAACACUCCCUCCUCCUACACCCGUUACUCUCCUUACUCUGCUGUUUUUCCACAUUAUUUGGCAUCUUAUAAUACAUACUUUUCUCAUUUAUUAUGUAUAUCCUUUUUUUAAAAACAUGCUGAAAACUCUUUAUAACAAUGCAGGACAAUGGCCAGGCACAGUGGCUCACGCCUGUAAUCUCAGCACUUUGGGAGGCUGAGGUGGGUGGAUUACAAGGUCAGCAGUUCGAGACCAGCCUGGUCAAUAUGGUGAAACCCCGUCUCUACUAAAAAUACAAAAAUUAGCCGGGCAUGGUGGUGCGCGCCUGUAGUCCCAGCUACUCCUACUGAGGCAGGAGAAUCGCGUGAACCCAGGAGGCAAAGGUUGCAGUGAGCUGAGAUCACACCACUGCACUCCAGCCUGGGCAACAGAGGGAAAAUCCAUCUCAAAAUAAGUAAAUAAAUAAAAUAAUAAUAAUGCAGGACAAUUAUGUAUAGCAAACACUUUCAAAAUUUAAACUCCUUCAACAUUUAAUUCUUCAGCAUUAUGUAGACUUUUAAUUGUACAUCUCCCCCCGACCCUGACCCCAACUAGAAUGUAAGUUCCAUUUUGUCUAUUAAUUUACUGAUGUGUUCCCAAUACUAAAACAGAGCCUGGGGCAUAGCAAGAUCAUGAGGGUCAAACAAGAUAAUGCCUGUACGUAGCCUGCGGUGGGCAGCACCUGGUACAGAGCUCAUGAUGAACCAGUAUCCUCUUCCUCUUACGUGUCCACCAACAGGAGAAUAGAAAUUACGAUAUAUAAUAUUAUAAAUUGGCCAGGUGCGAUGGCUCAUGCCUGUAAUCCCAACACUUUGAGAGGCUGAGGCAGGAGGAAUGCUUGAACACAGGAGUUUGAGACCAGCCUGGGCAACAUGGUGAAACCCCCCCCCCCAUAAAAAAUACAAAAAAAUUAGCCAGGCCUGGUGGCACGUGCCAGCCUGAGGUGGGAGGAUCAACUGAACCCGGGAGGUCGAGGCUGCAGUGAGCUGUGAUCAUGCCACUGCAUUCCAGCCUGGGUGACAGAGUAAGACUCUCAAAAAAAAAAAAAAAAAAAAAAAAAACAAACAAAUUCAAGUAAAACAAUUAAAUUAUAACUCAUUAAAAUGAUAAUUACAAAGAAUAUGCAGCAGUAUGGAAAACAGUUUAUAACUAAUGUUAAGUGAAAAAAGCAGACUACAAAUUUGUCCACGAUUACAACUGGGUAAAAAUAAUUUAAGAGCUAUACAAAAAUAAGGAGACAAGAUGAUGGGCUCAUGGUGAGCAGCUGUUAAGCACGGAUGAAAAUUGAUGUGCCCAGAAGCAGAUUCUCUUUGAAGCAUCUUUUUUCAUACUACCUGAUAAGCAUCUUGCUACAUGGCAGUAGCAGCAGUAAGAUGGGUGGUAUCAAAGAGAACUAUCUGCAAAUAUUUAUCUUCAAUCCAAAAUGGAGCCUUAUGUUUGUCAUAAAUCUACAUACUCUUCUUUUCCAGGUGACUACAAUUGCAAAGUAGACUUUGCUUUGACAUCUGAUGCCAGGACAAUAGUAUGUUACCAUCCUUCUGUAGACAUUCCAUAUGAAUGCACAAAACCUAUCCCUUGACCAGAUCCUGUGUAUAAUAAUGAAGAAACACAUGUUCAAGUGCUGAAAACUAGAGAAGAAAAAAGUGAACACCUUGAGCGAGAACCCAUAAUAGAACAACUUAGCAAAAUGUUCUUUAUACUAAGUAUGGUUGGCAUCUUCGUGGACAUUAGCACAGAUGUCAGAAGAAACUGGAUCCUCCAGAAGACAGAUGAUAUUGAGGUUCUUGGGGAAUUAAAGAGAAAUAUUACCCUCUGCCUCAUUUGCCAUUGGAGAAAGUGCAAUCUGGUGUAUGCACUAAUAAUAAUAAUAACAUGUCUUUUCAUAUUUAAAAAAGAAACCACAAAAUCUUUAGGAGGCUGAGGUGGGUGGAUUGCUUGAGUCAGGAGUUUGAGAGCAGCUUGAGCAACAUAGACCCCAUCUCUAAAAAAAUUAGCCAAGUGUGGUGAUGUGUGUCUGUGGUGCAACUACUUGGAAGGCUGAGGUAGGAGGAUUGCUUGAGCUCAGGAGGUUGAGGCUGCAGUGAGCAGUGAUCAUGCCUCUGCAUUCCAGCCUUGGUGACAGAGCAAGACCCUGUCUCAACAACAACAACAAAAAUCAAAAUCUAUGCAAAAUUUAAACCCAAUCUUGCGCUAGUCUUGUGGGAAUGAAGAUUAAUUUACCUAAAAAUGCUCCUCUGGUUUUUGUAAUUCUUUUUGUUACUUUUUAAAAAUAUAAAUUUGGCCAGGCA